AACCCCCAGCUAGGCUGGGGGUUCAGUAAAGCUUUCAGCUUUGGGUCAGUUAUAAAAACCCCUUUUGAUUUCUUGUUGAACAUUUGCAGUUGCCAGACCGCAAACUGUUUUAACAAAUCAAAAG
rnacentral:sRNA from 1 species